rnacentral:tRNA from 1 species
GCGCCGGCACUCCGAUUGGCCUUGAGAGCGGGGACUCAAAAUCCUUUGGCGGUAACCAUUCCGCAUGUCGGUCCGAAUCCGACCCGGCGUA